rnacentral:rRNA from 1 species
UACGAAGGGUGCAAGCGUUACUCGGAAUUACUGGGCGUAAAGCGCGCGUAGGUGGCUUGAUAAGUUGGAUGUGAAAUCCCCGGGCUCAACCUGGGAACUGCAUCCAAAACUGUCUGGCUAGAGUGUGGUAGAGGGUAGUGGAAUUUCCAGUGUAGCGGUGAAAUGCGUAGAUAUUGGAAGGAACACCAGUGGCGAAGGCGACUACCUGGACUAACACUGACACUGAGGUGCGAAAGCGUGGGGAGCAAACAGG